rnacentral:rRNA from 1 species
UGGGGAAUAUUGCACAAUGGGCGGAAGCCUGAUGCAGCGACGCCGCGUGGGGGAUGAAGGCCUUCGGGUUGUAAACUCCUUUCGACAGGGACGAAGCUUUUGUGACGGUACCUGUAUAAGAAGCACCGGCUAACUACGUGCCAGCAGCCGCGGUAAUACGUAGGGUGCGAGCGUUGUCCGGAAUUACUGGGCGUACAGAGCUCGUAGGUGGUUUGUCGCGUCGUCUGUGAAAUUCCGGGGCUUAACUCCGGGCGUGCAGGCGAUCAGGGCUGACCUGAGUGCUGUGGGGGAGACUGGAAUUCCUGGUGUAGCGGUGAAAUGCGCAGAUAUCAGGAGGAACACCGAUGGCGAAGGGAGGUCUCUGGGCAGUAACUGACGCUGAGGAGCGAAAGCAUGGGUAGCGAAGAGG